AAGUUAAUCAGGCCAUGUGGUUUUGCACAGAGAAACGAAGGCUAUUUUUGUAAAGGCAGCAAUGCUUGACUCUCCACACUUAGGGGCUAAGGAGACCAGUGAAAGAAUCCUUUAGGAAUGUAUACAUUCAUGGAGUUCAAGCACUGUGUUCUGUUUUUGGAAUUGUUCCUGGCAGAAUCCUCAAGCAAAAAUGCAAACCAGAUGUACAAAAGAAAUAUAAGCUUCAUCACAAAGAGAAGAGUGUGUUCCUCAGUCCACUUGCAAGAGCUGGGAGGUGAAAGGGCAACACCAUGACCAUGGAAGAAAGUGUGGAAACAAUAUUUGGAUGUUAAAUGUACACAGUCUAGUUAAUACUGGACUUUACAUGAGAGGAACGAGACAUCUAUUCCCUCCCACUAGUAAAGAUGAAGAGAUGAGGCUUUUGCUAUUUGAAGGCCAACUUCGUGGCAGUGUGAGCAGCCAAGGAAUUAAUCUUCUGCCAUCAGUGAACUGCAAGGAGCUGUCCAGCAGAGCCGUUUCCCGUGGUCAGGGGUCUAUUACAUCCUGGCUCUGGAGAAGAUAACGCAGAUCACUCAAUAGCUUGUUGUGAAGAAAUUGCAUAGCACUUUACAGAUAAAAUCACUCAGAUCUAUUCCAAUUUGGAUUCCUUAGUUGAAACAGUCCCAGGGAAUGUAGCCUCCAUCUCUGCAUGCCUGAUAAUAAUGGAUUCUUUUCAACUUUUACAGCCUGAGGAUGUAUACAGGAUUGUUGGAGAGGUGGGUGCCACCACAUGUCUGUUAGACCCUUGCCCUUCUUGGCUCAUUAAAAGGCUUAGAGGGAGUUUGGCUGAAUGGGUGAAGGGAACUGCCAAUGUCUCUUUACAACAAGGCAGGAUUCCAGCAUUUCUAAAGAAGAUGGUUUUAAGGCCUCUGUUGGGGGGAAAGGAUCCUUUGGAUCCUUUUGCCAUGGAUAACUAUCACUCAGUAUCCAAAAUUCUAUUUUGAGGCAAGAUAAAAUGUGUAAUUGCUUCCCAUCUCCAAAGAUUCCUGAAUGAAAUGGAUUAUUUAGAAUCAUUUUGAUCUGGUUUUAGGACUGGUUGUAGGACAGAGGCAGUUUUGGUUACUUUUGUGAUUGAGUUGCACUGGAAAAUAAAAGAGGGAGUACUCUCCUGUUGGA